UACGUAGGGGGCUAGCGUUGUCCGGAAUCACUGGGCGUAAAGCGCACGUAGGCGGCUUUUUAAGUCAGAGGUGAAAUCCUGGAGCUCAACUCCAGAACUGCCUUUGAUACUGGAGAGCUUGAGUCCGGGAGAGGUGAGUGGAACUGCGAGUGUAGAGGUGAAAUUCGUAGAUAUUCGCAAGAACACCAGUGGCGAAGGCGGCUCACUGGCCCGGUACUGACGCUGAGGUGCGAAAGCGUGGGGAGCAAACAGG
rnacentral:rRNA from 1 species